rnacentral:lncRNA from 1 species
ACGACAAGAAUGAUCUGCCCACCACAAGUUGAGUACGAGUACGAGGUGCACCAGGAUAGCCUAAGACGAGUCCGACACGUCUAAGGGGUGCGCGGACCUGCGAGUCCUAGUUUAAGCCAAGUCCUAUUCGGAAUGGUUGUAUGAGUUGAGUCGAACCUAGUUUGAGUCUGAGUCCGUUUGUGUGUUUGGCUGCCCCUCGCCUAUGGGGUACGCCAAGGGUUAGAGUUAGACCACGUUUUAGCUAUUUUUGAGAAUUGCGAGAAGCAUUCAUCUGGAAUCCUAUACACCAUAUUCGUUUCGAUAGGGUGUUUGUUAUCUACUGAAAUUUCGAGCGUAAUCUGUCAUUCCGCUAGGAAUCGGAAGAUUGCGAAACAGCUUCUGGUCGGCGGACUACUGCGCAAGUGUGUGGUGUUGUGAAUUCCCAUUGGGUUGCAAGUUCGUCGUGCGGCGACGGGUGAACAGCCGGAAGAUUUGUAAAAUCAUACAAGUUAUCCACGUUGCUCUCUGAAAAGAUCGGGCCACCCCUUAUCACCAUAGGAACAUGAAAAAAAUAGAGGUCCUGAAAGAGUGAAAGAGAGAAGUAAGCAAAGAAGGAAAAAAUAACAAGAAAAACAAAAAGGUCCUUUGUCGAAGGCUAUUUUGGAUCAAACAAGGGCAGCGGCAAAAAAAGAAAACAAAUUAAAAGCCCACCCGGUUUUAACUAGGACCGAAUAGGGUUCAAGAGAAUCCACCAAGUCAAACCACAGCUCAGGACGAACAGGGCGACGUGAUUUUAUCGCGUUCCGUACUACCUACGGCGGCCCAAAUUUAACCGGGCCCACAGGGUAGUGGACUGAGUUGUCAGUAGCAUGCAUGUGUGUCAAGGAGUUCGGGAACUGGGGUGAAGGAACCCUUUUAUGUUGGUCUGAUCACUCUAAAUUGGCGAGGUGGGACUGAAGUACCACCCCGAGCCGGUCGCCGAAGCGUGUCGUUCGCGCGCUGCUAGGCCGCAAACAGGGGAAAGGCCAAGGCCAGCCUGUUAAGUGGAUGGCCGCACAGGC